rnacentral:rRNA from 1 species
UACGUAGGGUGCAAGCGUUGUCCGGAUUUAUUGGGCGUAAAGCGCUCGUAGGUGGUUCGGUAAGUCGGAUGUGAAAUCUCCAGGCUCAACCUGGAGGGGUCAUUCGAUACUGCCGUGACUAGAGUUCGGUAGGGGAGUGUGGAAUUCCUGGUGGAGCGGUGAAAUGCGCAGAGAUCAGGAGGAACACCCGUAGCGAAGGCGGCACUCUGGGCCGAUACUGACACUGAGGAGCGAAAGCGUGGGGAGCGAACAGG